GAUGAACGCUGGCGGCGUGCCUAAUACAUGCAAGUCGAGCGAACGGACGAGGAGCUUGCUCCUCUGACGUUAGCGGCGGACGGGUGAGUAACACGUGGAUAACCUACCUAUAAGACUGGGAUAACUUCGGGAAACCGGAGCUAAUACCGGAUAAUAUAUUGAACCGCAUGGUUCAAUAGUGAAAGACGGUUUUGCUGUCACUUAUAGAUGGAUCCGCGCCGCAUUAGCUAGUUGGUAAGGUAACGGCUUACCAAGGCAACGAUGCGUAGCCGACCUGAGAGGGUGAUCGGCCACACUGGAACUGAGACACGGUCCAGACUCCUACGGGAGGCAGCAGUAGGGAGUCUUCCGCAAUGGGCGAAAGCUUGACGGAGCAACGCCGCGUGAGUGAUGAAGGUCUUCGGAUCGUAAAACUCUGUUAUUAGGGAAGAACAAAUGUGUAAGUAACUAUGCACGUCUUGACGGUACCUAAUCAGAAAGCCACGGCUAACUACGUG
rnacentral:rRNA from 1 species